rnacentral:piRNA from 1 species
AUGAACGCAUAGUGAGGGCAGUACUG